rnacentral:rRNA from 1 species
GACGAACGCCGGCGGCGUGCUUAACACAUGCAAGUCGAACGGAAAGGCCCUGCUUGCAGGGUACUCGAGUGGCGAACGGGUGAGUAACACGUGGGUGAUCUGCCCUGCACUUCGGGAUAAGCCUGGGAAACUGGGUCUAAUACCGGAUAGGAGCCAUCUUGAGGGUGAGGGUUGGAAAGUAUUUUCGGUGUAGGAUGGGCUCGCGGCCUGUCUGCUUGUUGGUGGGGUGAUGGCCUACCAAGGCGGCGACGGGUGGGCGGCCUGCGUGGGUGGACGGCCACAUUGGGGCCUGGGUACGGCCCAGGCUCCUACGGGGGGCAGCAGGGGGGAAUAUUGCACAAUGGGGGGGAGGCUGAUGCAGCGACGCCGCGUGGGGGAUGACGGCCUUCGGGUUGCAAACUCCUUUCGCUAGGGACGAAGCUGUUUGUGACGGUACCUAGAUAAGAAGCACCGGCUAACUACGUG